AAAUUGUGCUAAGCACUAUGAGAGCAGGAAUACAGCGUAUCAAAGAGUACUUUAUUUAUUCCAGGUAGGUGGAGACAAGGAAAAUGUCCAGGAAGAAGUGACAUUUAAACGGUGGGGAAGGAUGAGUAAAACAUAUAAUAUGAACUGAAGCAGAAGACAGUUUUAGACCAAAGGAAUGUCCUGUGGAAGGCCUGGACAUACUCAAGGAACUGAAGAAGUUGAAGUUGAGGGAGUGGUGAGAAAUGUGGGCAAAUAUUGUGAGAUACUCUUGGAAGAGUAAGCAACAUGAAGAAUCUGGAUUCUAAUAUAUGGGAGGUUGACUAUAAUAGCCUAUGCUAUGGCAUAUGUGGUCUUGGGAUCUGCUGUGCUCAAACUGAGGCCAAAAGAUACCUAAAGAGAAUGGAUGACCUUAGGAGUAGAGACUGUCAAAGAGAAAUGAAGCAGAGUCUGGCAGUUAUUAUGACUGGGAAAGAAGAGGAGAGACAAAGAAGAUACAAAAGAUAGCCAGGUAAGAGGACUUUAGGAAGAAUUAUAGAAUGCUAGGAGUUAUAUUAAGAUUAACCAAGUAAGAUUCAGGAGAUCCACAUUCUCUUUUUAGUUUAGGUCAAAUCAUUUUGGAACAAAUAAAAUCCUGCCUAUCUUAAUUACUUAAUAGCUAAAAAGUAUUAAGUAGUUUGCACUUAAGCAAUACUUAAACAUCUUGACAUUAAAAAAAUGCCUCUGUAAUAUGAAAUCCAUUACACAAAAUAAGGCAGACAGGUUGUAACACUGGCUAGUCACGACAAUAUUGGAGUUCAGCAAUUGGAAGACUCUACCAAAGGAAAUCAGGGGACUCAUCUUAGAUCUAGUUAGUUCUACAACGGCUAGAAUCUACAGUAAACCUGGUACAAUCCAAUGACAUCUGAGGAGGAAGGGGAGUCCUGCAGGCAGGGAUCACCUACAAAAGUCUUUGGUUGAAAAAAAUUGAGUCUUGUGUGUUAAUUUCAGGCCUGGUCAUGAUUUAAUCUUUGCCCUUUCAUUUUAAUUCAUUUCACAAUUUGUAAAUGAACACUUACAAUCUGCUUCAACAUAACUUACAGUGAUAUUAUUAGGAUUAAUAAAAAAAGGUAUGCUAAAAAUAAAAGUACUAUGUAAAUGUAAGUUAUAUUAUGAAAAUAUACAUGUAACAUAACCUCUUCAGUAAGAUAUAGGGUUCACCCAUAGUUAAGACCCCUCCUCUGAUCAAUGGGCAAGGGGUGAAGAAGUAAUGCAGCCAAAGGAGACAUCU
rnacentral:lncRNA from 1 species